CCCAGACUCCUACGGGAGGCAGCAGUGGGAAUAUUGCACACUGGGCGAAAGCCUUCUGCAGCAACUCCGCUUGAAGGAAGAAGGCCUUCGGGUCGUCCCCUUCUGUCCUUUUUUAAGAAGAACUGCCGGUACCCACUUAUUCAGCCCCGUCUCCCUACGUGCCCUCCUCCGCGGUAAUCCGUCUGGGGCAAUCUUUAUCCGGAAUUCUUGGGCGUAAAGAGUACGUAGGUGGCAACCUAAGCGCAGGGUUUAAGGCAAGGGAGCAACCAUUGUUCGCCCUGCGAACUGGGAUGCUUGAGUGCAGGAGAGGAAAGCGGAAUUCCGAGUGUAGCGGUGAAAUGCGUAGAGAGGAGGAGGAACACCAGUGGCGAAGGCGGCUUUCUGGACUGUAACUGACACUGAGGUACGAAAGCGUGGGGAGCACACAGGAUUAGAUACCCCUGUAU
rnacentral:rRNA from 1 species